rnacentral:lncRNA from 1 species
ACAGCAGGCGACAGCGGCGCUCGUCCCGGCCGCUCGCCCAGGCUGCCAGGGGGUGCUGGCACCCCGCACCCCGCGCCCCGCCAUGGGGGGCCGCGCCCGCAGCAGUUGGAUUGUGCCCCUUUUCUUGGCUGGGCUCGCCCAGCUGGGGCGAAGCGAGGAGAGGGAGAAGGUGGACUGCUACCCCUCGGUGAAUGACACCAUCUACAACUACGGGGCCCUGACCAUCGACGGGGACGAGUACAUCCCCUUUGAGAGGUACAAGGGGAAGACAGUGCUCUUCGUCAACGUAGCCACAUACUGAGGCCUGACCCUGCAGUAUGUUGAACUGAAUGCACUACAAGAUGAGCUGAGAAACGAGGGGCUCGUGGUCCUUGGUUUCCCCUCCAACCAAUUUGGGAAGCAGGAACCCGGCCAGAACUCAGAGAUCCUCCCUGCCCUUAAGUACGUCCGGCCAGGAGGUGGCUUUGUUCCCAACUUCCAGCUGUUCCAGAAAGGGGAUGUGAACGGGGCCAAGGAGCAGAAGAUCUUCACCUUCCUGAAGAACGCCUGUCCCCCGGUGGCGGAGGACUUCGGGAACCCCAACAGGCUCUUCUGGGAGCCUCUGCGGAACCAUGACAUCAAGUGGAACUUCGAGAAGUUCCUGGUGAGCCCCGAAGGUGUGCCCAUCAUGCGCUGGUACCAUCGCACCAACAUUGCUGUCGUGAAGAAAAACAUCGUGAGCUACCUGAGGCGGCGGCAGCAGAACCAUGACGAACAGCAGGACCAGUAGGGCCUCAGGCUGCUGGCAUGAGGGCCAGCACCCCCCCAGCUGCUUCCCAUUCCGUUCCUUCCCCAGAUGUUCCCCAGCAGCAGGAAUCACACCCUGUUCCCUCCAUUGCUCCCGUCUCUGGCAGCCCCCAGUCAGGAUGCUGGGCUGAGGGUCUCAUGGCAGAGAACUCAGUAAUGGCAGUAAAUACUUGCAAUAUCCCUGUGUCCCACCUCCACCCCUGGUGGUGCCAUCCCGGGCAGUGGGAGGACGCAGGGGCCGGCUGUCCCUGGAGGAGACCACAUCUCCAUGAAGGCUUGGCCCGAAAGCCCCCGGCUGGGGCGGGCCUGGCCUGACCGUGCCGAGCACGGAGCAGCUCUUCAGUGCAUUCAGGCUGCCCGUGCUCCUGGCACACAGAUGUGCUCUCUCCUGGUGAGGGUGGCCGGCCCCUCACCGCCCACCACAGAAACACCAAAUAAAGGCUCUGCAAAUGUG